CGGCUCCAUAAAAAAAACUAUAUCUCCCCUACCUCUCCGUUUAAUUUCAAUGAAGAUAAGAGAAACAAUCACAGAAGUGUAGGACGUUUUAAGUUUUCAUUUAUGGCAACAGUUUCUGCAAUUAUUAUUAUUUUG